GGCGCACGGGUGAGUAACACGUAUCCAACCUGCCGUCUACCCGGGGAUAGCCCUCUGAAAGGAGGAUUAAUACCCGAUGCUCUCAUAGCGGGGCCUCCCGCCGUGAGCAAAGAUUCAUCGGUAGACGAUGGGGAUGCGUAUGAUUAGGAAGUUGGCAGGGUAACGGCCUACCAAUCCUACGAUCAUUAGGGGUUCUGAGAGGAAGGUCCCCCACAUAGGAACUGAGACACGGUCCUAACUCCUACGGGAGGCAGCAGUGAGGAAUAUUGGUCAAUGGGCGCGAGCCUGAACCAGCCAAGUAGCGUGAAGGAAUGACUGCCCUAUGGGUUGUAAACUUCUUUUACCGGGGAAUAAAGUGUGCCACGUGUGGCAUUUUGUAUGUACCCGAUGAAUAAGCAUCGGCUAAUUCCGUGCCAGCAGCAGC
rnacentral:rRNA from 1 species